AAUCAACGCUGGCGGCGUGCCUAACACAUGCAAGUCGAACGCGAAAGCCCCUUCGGGGGUAAGUAGAGUGGCGUCCGGGUGAGUAACACGUGGGUAAUCUACCUUCGGGUGGGGAAUAACUCAGGGAAACUUGAGCUAAUACCGCAUAAUGCAGCGGCACCUAAUGGUGAUUAGUUGUUAAAGCGGGGGAUCGCAAGACCUCGCGCCUGAAGAGGAGCCUGCGGCAGAUUAGCUAGNGGUGAGGUAAUGGCUCACCAAGGCUUCGAUCUGUAGCUGGUCUGAGAGGACGGCCAGCCACACUGGCACUGACACACGGGCCAGACUCCUACGGGAGGCAGCAGUGGGGAAUUUUGGGCAAUGGGCGAAAGCCUGACCCAGCAACGCCGCGUGAGGGAGGAAAUCCUUCGGGAU
rnacentral:rRNA from 1 species